UACGGAGGGUGCAAGCGUUUAUCCGGAUUCACUGGGUUUAAAGGGUGCGUAGGCGGGUAAGUAAGUCCGUGGUGAAAUCUCUGAGCUUAACUCAGAAACUGCCGUGGAUACUAUUUGCCUUGAAUAUUGUGGAGGUGAGCGGAAUAUGUCAUGUAGCGGUGAAAUGCUUAGAUAUGACAUAGAACACCAAUUGCGAAGGCAGCUCACUACACAAUCAUUGACGCUGAGGCACGAAAGCGUGGGGAUCAAACAGG
rnacentral:rRNA from 1 species